GGCUUAGAAGCAGCCAUCCUUGAAAGAGUGCGUAAUAGCUCACUGGUCAAGUGAUCGUGCGCCGACAAUGUAGCGGGGCUCAAGCACACCGCCGAAGCCGCGGACCCAUGACAUGGUUCCCUUCACCGUAUGCCUUGUGCGUGUGGUGGCAGGGGUCGUGGGUGGUAGGGGAGCGUCCUGCACCGGGGGAAGCCUGUGGGUGACUGCUGGUGGACGGUGCGGGAGUGAGAAUGCAGGCAUGAGUAGCGAUACUAGGGUGAGAAGCCCUAGCGCCGAAUGACCAAGGGUUCCAGGGCCAGGCUAGUCCGCCCUGGGUGAGUCGGGACCUAAGGCGAGGCCGACAGGCGUAGUCGAUGGAUGACGGGUUGAUAUUCCCGUACCGGCGAAGCACCGCCCAUGCUGACGCGCGGGUGCUAACCCACGCCCAGCCGCCGUGUAGGCCGCGCCUACUCCUUUCGGGGGGUGGUGUGGUUGUGGUGGUGGGGUCUGGGGAUCCUCCGUGCAGGUAGGCAAGCGUGUUAACAGGGGUGACGCACAGUGGUAGCCCGGCGGACCUGAUGGCUUGGUCCGUUCAAGCGCGCAGCCCGUCCUCCAGGUAAAUCCGGGGUGACUGUCUUUGAUGACGGGGGUGAGGCGUGAUGGUGACCUCACGUUGGUGGGGGAUAGCAGGGUGAUCCUGGGGUGCCGAGAAAAGCCUCGACGCGAUGGUGCCAGCCGCCCGUACCCUAAACCGACACAGGUGGUCGGGCAGAGUAUGCCUAGGCGCACGAGUGAAUCAUGGUUAAGGAACUCGGCAAAAUGCCCCCGUAACUUCGGGAGAAGGGGGGCCCGAUCCCUUGAAGCCCCGUGGCGGGCUAGGGGGGUGGGUCGCAGAGGCCAGGGGGAAGCGACUGUUUACUAAAAACACAGGUCCGUGCGAAGCCGUAAGGCGAUGUAUACGGACUGACGCCUGCCCGGUGCUGGAAGGUUAAGAGGAACCAUCAACCCUCGGGUGAAGUGGUGAAUUUAAGCCCCAGUAAACGGCGGUGGUAACUAUAACCAUCCUAAGGUAGCGAAAUUCCUUGUCGGGUAAGUUCCGACCUGCACGAAUGGCGUAACGACUUCCCUACUGUCUCAACCAUGAGCUCGGCGAAAUUGCACUACGAGUAAAGAUGCUCGUUUCGCGCAGAAGGACGGAAAGACCCCGGGACCUUUACUACAGCUUGGUAUUGGCGCCCGCUAUAGCUUGUGCAGGAUAGGUGGGAGACUGUGAAGCCGUUACGCCAGUAGCGGUGGAGUCGUCCUUGAAAUACCACUCUGGUUAUGGCGUGCGCCUGAACCUGGGCCCGUGAUCCGGGUUAGGGACAGUGCCUGGUGGGUAGUUUAACUGGGGCGGUUGCCUCCUAAAGUGUAACGGAGGCGCUCAAAGGUUCCCUCAGCCUGGUCGGCAACCAGGUGUUGAGUGCAAGUGCACAAGGGAGCUUGACUGUGAGACCGACGGGUCGAGCAGGUACGAAAGUAGGAACUAGUGAUCCGGCGAUCCCGUGUGGGUGGGUCGUCGCUCAACGGAUAAAAGGUACCCCGGGGAUAACAGGCUGAUCCUGCCCAAGAGUCCAUAUCGACGGCAUGGUUUGGCACCUCGAUGUCGGCUCGUCGCAUCCUGGGGCUGGAGCAGGUCCCAAGGGUUGGGCUGUUCGCCCAUUAAAGCGGUACGCGAGCUGGGUUUAGAACGUCGUGAGACAGUUCGGUCCCUAUCCUCUGCGCGCGCAGGAGACUUGAGAAGGCCUGUCCCUAGUACGAGAGGACCGGGACGGACGAACCUCUGGUGUGCCAGUUGUCCCGCCCGGGGCACGGCUGGUUGGCUACGUUCGGGACGGGUAACCGCUGAAAGCAUCUAAGCGGGAAACCAUCUUCAAGAUAAGGUCUCCGCAGGACACCUCGGUGUCCUGGUAGGCCCCCAGCAGACUACUGGGUUGAUAGGCCAGAAGUGGAAGACCGGUAACGGCCUCGAGCUGACUGGUACUAAUCGGCCGACACAAACAAC
rnacentral:rRNA from 1 species